rnacentral:lncRNA from 1 species
GGCCGGUCGGGGCUUGCGCCCCAGCAGUCCGCACGCCAGGUGGAAGUGCUUGUGAGGUCGGGCUCCGCCCUUGCGCCCCAGCAGGCCUCGCGUCAGGUGGAAGUGCUCGCGAGGUUUCCCAGGGCCACGCGGUAGCCGUGCAGGGGCGGGGUGGGGUUUACGACGGUGGCCGGGGCUGGGGAGCCGUGACAACUUGCUGGGCGCCAGAAAGUUCAUCCAAUCAGUUCAUCAAGGCAAGAGAUUUUCAUUUUGAAAACAAAAAGGAGGUAUUGUGGCAAUUUAGGAAGGAAAUUUUUGUUUAUUUGUUUUUGAGGAAGAUUCGCCCUGAGCUAACAUCUGCCGUCAAUCCUCCUCUUUUUGCUGAGGAAGACUGGCCCUGAGCUAACAUCUGUGCGCAUCUUCCCCGACUUUUUUAUAUGUGGGAUGCCUGCCACAGCAUGGCUUGACAAGCGGCAUGUAGGUCCAUGCCCAGGAUCCAAACUGGCGAACCCCAGGCCGCCGAAGCUGAAUGCGUGAACUUAACCGCUGUACCACCAGAUGCGGACAUUGAAGUGCAAAGAAAUGAAAUAAUUGCCCAAGGUCAUGGAGCUAGAAUGCAGUGAAGCCAAGCUACAAAUCUAGACUCUUAAGCCCUUUGCUCCCAAGUCUAUUAAUCUCUGCUUCCAGUAGGAAUCUCCAGCGAUAAAACAAGCUUAAUUUAAACAACUAGGGAAACACCUUCCAAUGCGCUAAUAAUAUUACAAGUAAAAAGGCUGUAAGUGCUCCAGGAAAGUAGAAAAUCAAUAAAG